GAUGAAGAACGCAGCAAAAUGCGAUAAGUAGUGUGAAUUGCAGAAUUCAGUGAAUCAUCGAAUCUUUGAACGCACAUUGCGCCCCUUGGUAUCCCGAGGGGCAUGCCUGUUCGAGCGUCAUUUCACCACUCAAGCCUGGCUUGGUGUUGGGCGACGUCCCCUUUGGGGACGCGCCUCGAAACGCUCGGCGGCGUGGCACCGGCUUUAAGCGUAGCAGAAUCUUUCGCUUUGGAAGUCGGGGCCCCGUCUGCCGGAAGACCUACUCGCAAGGUUGACCUCGGAUCAGGCAGGGAUACCCGCUGAACUUAAGCAUAUCAAUAAGCGGAGGA
rnacentral:misc_RNA from 1 species